rnacentral:piRNA from 1 species
UGUGCUUUGUGUGUAGGUUCACAGCAC